GCUUUCUCUGGAAGCAGCUUAGAUGUUGAGUAUCAAACUGUAUGUUUAGUAGAUCUUAUAUAGUUUGAUACACAGCACAAUAAGCUGUUUUAUCCAACA
ensembl:miRNA